CUUAGAGUUUGAUCCUGGCUCAGGAUGAUCGCUGGCGGUAUGCUUAACACAUGCAAGUCGAACGGUGUCUUCGGACAUAGUGGCGGACGGGUGAGUAACGCGUGAGAAUCUAGCUUCAGGUCUGGGACAACCACUGGAAACGGUGGCUAAUACCGGAUGUGCCGGAAGGUGAAAGGCUUGCUGCCUGAAGAUGAGCUCGCGUCCGAUUAGCUAGUAGGUGGGGUAAGAGCCUACCUAGGCGACGAUCGGUAGCUGGUCUGAGAGGAUGACCAGCCACACUGGGACUGAGACACGGCCCAGACUCCUACGGGAGGCAGCAGUGGGGAAUUUUCCGCAAUGGGCGAAAGCCUGACGGAGCAAUACCGCGUGAGGGAGGAAGGCUCUUGGGUUGUAAACCUCUUUUCUCAGGGAAGAACACAAUGACGGUACCUGAGGAAUCAGCAUCGGCUAACUCCGUGCCAGCAGCCGCGGUAAUACGGAGGAUGCAAGCGUUAUCCGGAAUGAUUGGGCGUAAAGCGUCCGCAGGUGGCUGUGUAAGUCUGCUGUCAAAGAGCAAAGCUCAACUUUGUAAAGGCAGUGGAAACUACACGGCUAGAGUGCGUUCGGGGCAGAGGGAAUUCCUGGUGUAGCGGUGAAAUGCGUAGAGAUCAGGAAGAACACCGGUGGCGAAGGCGCUCUGCUAGGCCGCAACUGACACUGAGGGACGAAAGCUAGGGGAGCGAAUGGGAUUAGAUACCCCAGUAGUCCUAGCUGUAAAC
rnacentral:rRNA from 1 species